rnacentral:rRNA from 1 species
GCCAGACUCCUACGGGAGGCAGCAGUGGGGCCUCUUUCACAAUGGUUGCCCCCCUGAUUCAGCGCCGCCGCGUUCGUGCAGAAGUACUUCUUUAUGUAAAUCUCUCUCAGCAGGGACGCACAUGACGGUCCCUGAGUAAGAAGCCCCGGCUAACUACGUGCCAGCAGCCGCGGUAAUACGUAGGGGGCAAGCGUUAUCCGGAUUUAUUGGGUUUAAAGGGUGCGCAGGCGGGAGAUCAAGUCAGCGGUAAAAUGUCUGGGCUCAACCCCGGCCGGCCGUUGAAACUGGUUUUCUAGAGUUGGAGAGAAGUAUGCGGAAUUCGUGGUGUAGCGGUGAAAUGCAUAGAUAUCACGAAGAACUCCGAUUGCGAAGGCAGCAUACCGGCUCCAUACUGACGCUGAGGCACGAAAGCGUGGGGAUCGAACAGGAUUAGAUACCCCGGUAA